UUUUGACUCCAUAAUAAACAAGAAUAAUGUUUCACCUUUAUGGCGGAGUAUUGCUGAGAUCUGGGGUGAAAUUUCAAGGUGUGCUAGCUGGAUUAUUGGAGAUGAUACUACAGUUAAGUUUUGGAUAGACUGUUGGUUAUUUGAUGGUGUGAUAUUGAAAGAUGUUGCCACUUCAGAUGUCCCUAUGGUGUUAAUCAAUGAACCAGUAGCUGCUUAUACUCAGUCGAAUGGCUCUUGGAAUUGGUCUCACUUUUCUACUUAUUUGCCUUUUUCUAUUAUUACUUGUAUAGCAGCAGUCCUUCCCCCUUCCCCUUUUCAGGGUCCUGAUUCUGUUGUGUGGAGGUUUUCUUCUUCAGGGCUGUCCUUGAGAACAGCUUAUGAAUGGCUAGAGGGUCUACAUGAGGCGCACCCUGGUGGUUUUUGGAAUUCAGCUUGGCAUUGGAAGGGUCCUCAAAGGAUCCAUGUGUUCUUAUGGUUAGCUUUGCGUCAACGUCUCCUUACUAAUGAGGAGAGACAGCGUUGACACCUUGCUAAUUCUGCUAAUUGUGACCUUUGUGUUGGGUUUCAGGAGUCACAUCUUCAAGUUCUUCGUGAUUGUAGUUUAACACAGCAAGUUUGGUUUGAUCUUCGUCCUCCUGGGGCUUGGGACAAUUUUGUGGCUACUAAUUCUGUUGAUGUGUGGAUUAGUUAUAAUAUUUCUUCUCGACAGCUUCAUCAUAGUGGUUAUUCUUGGGAUCUAAUUUUUUGUGUUACAUGCUGGAUGCUUUGGAUGCGUCGAAACCGAGUUAUUUUCGCCCAGGAAUAUUCUUCUGUUUCUACGAUUGUACAACGAAUUUUGCAUUUUGUAUCCGAGGUGUCUAGAUCUUUCUCUCUUCAACAAACAAAUGGAGUUUGUCUCUUAAGAGUUGAGCGUCUGAUCUCUUGGCAGUUAUCCACGCCUGGAGCUUUCAAGUUGAACAUAGAUGGAUCUGUAAAAGGACGUUUUGCUACUGGAGGUGGCUUAAUACGAAAUGAUCAAGUUAGAUGGAUUAGGGGCUUUGCUUAUAAUAUUGGAUCUUGUUCAGUGCCUUGUGCGGAACUUUGGGCUCUUUUGGAAGGAAUUAAAUUGGCCUGGACAUUGGGAAUUCGCUCACUACAAAUUGAAUGUGAUAGUCUGUUAGUUGUUAAUAUGGUUAAAGAUGAUGCUUUGCUUCAUAACAGCUUGAGGCCUUUGGUGUUUUUGAUUAAGCAUUUUCUUUCCUUGGAGUGGCAAUGUGAGCUGACGCAUGUUUACCGGGAGGCUAACUUUAGUGCAGAUUAUCUUGCAAAUUAUGCUGCUUCUCUUCGGAUUGGUCUGCAUAUUAUGGAGGCUCCUCCAUCAGGUGUCCUUCACUGGUUGCUGCAUGAUUCCAGUGGCGUUUCCCAUGGUAGAGUUUGUGUUUAGUUUUCUUUGUUGAGCUUUGCUCUUCCCCCUUGUUACCAAAAAAAAAAAAAAAAUUGAACAUGGACACAAUUGCGUCGAGGUACAUCCUUUCCUUCAAUUUUAGCACCCGAGAAACCCUAUCCCGUUUUCAAUUUACCCCAGUCCCUUCCCUUUCCCGUUUUGCUUCUUCGGCAAAAACUACUCACCAGCGACGAAGACCAACACCAGUAAUAGAAUUAGGUGACGUCGGCAAGCUCGUAUCACAGCAAGACUAAGAGGAGAAACAACAAUAGAAGCACGAAGGAGAACCACUGUAAAUCAAUAAUAGCUCUCUUCCUAUUUUUCUUUAUUUACUGUCAAU
rnacentral:misc_RNA from 1 species